GUGUAGGGCCAUACCAUCCUGAACUCUGAGGGUAAGCGGUGUCGGUCGAGGUCAGUACGUGGAUGGGAGACUACCUGGGAAUACAGGAGUGGUAGGUA
ensembl:rRNA 5S_rRNA 5S ribosomal RNA